CUGACGUUAGCGGCGGACGGGUGAGUAACACGUGGGUAACCUACCUAUAAGACUGGGAUAACUCCGGGAAACCGGGGCUAAUACCGGAUAACACGUGAAACCGCAUGGUUUCAUGAUGAAAGACGGUUUUGCUGUCACUUAUAGAUGGACCCGCGGCGUAUUAGCUAGUUGGUAAGGUAACGGCUUACCAAGGCAACGAUACGUAGCCGACCUGAGAGGGUGAUCGGCCACACUGGAACUGAGACACGGUCCAG
rnacentral:rRNA from 1 species